CGGUCCAUAGGCCGGGCAAACGGGGCGCCCGCCCUGGGCCUCCAAGGCAGGGGCCCCAGCCCAGCUAGUGUUUCCGUACGUAGGAGGCCCCACAAAAACAACGAGCAGAUUCAGCGUCUUCCGGUCAGUCCGUGCCCCUCGACUCCUCGUCAUCCCCAAAUCCAGACUCCCAUGACUGCGCCGCCGUUCCCCUGGGUCUCGCUGUCUUCGAUUCCAAGGUCGCCGCUGGCCAUUAAUGGGGCUAAAGGCGCAAAUCUGCUCCCCAAUCGGCUCUCCUUCCUUUCUCGAUGUUCUGCUCGUUCCCCAUCAGCUAGACGUUGGAGAGAAGGUACCUGUUCUUUUCUUCCUGCCCAUAAUCCUGUUCUUCAUCGAUUAAAUAGCUCUGCCCUCUGAGAGAUUACACAUCUGCUUGGCCUGCUCCCCUGCAUAGUUCUUCUUCUGUAGUUCACCUCUUCGGUAGAUCUACGUGUGGAAGAGUGUUUAGGAGUCAGGGGAUUAGGAGAAUUGGAGAUGGGGGGUCGUUCGUGUUGACUACUACGUACAACAUGUGGAUCUGCUGAUCUGCCCAUCUACAUCCACAUCAAAAUCUAUAUCCAGAACAAAAUGAAGUCUCCUUUCAAAUUUAGGAAUGCGGGCUUUUGUGGAAAGAGAGCUUUUGUCGAACUGCAUCAUUUCAUUACUAUCAUGGUGUAGUUCACUUGAUCAUUUCAUUUCAAAUUGUACUAUCAGUUUUAGAGUCCAAAUAAAGAUCAUCUGGCUAUGUUGUGUACUGGAUAUUUACUUUGCUUUUGAAAUAGAAAAUGUUUUGAGUUUUUGAGUAAA